rnacentral:rRNA from 1 species
GAGUUUUUUCUCUAUGAACUACUUCCCUGGAGAGCUCGUCUCUCCAGUGGACAUAAACACAAACAAUAUUUUGUAUUAUGAAAAACUAUUAUACUAUAAAAUUUAAUAUUCAAAACUUUCAACAACGGAUCUCUUGGUUCUCGCAUCGAUGAAGAACGCAGCGAAUUGCGAUAUGUAUUGUGAAUUGCAGAUUUUCGUGAAUCAUCAAAUCUUUGAACGCACAUUGCGCCCUCUGGUAUUCCAGGGGGCAUGCCUGUUUGAGCGUCAUUUCUCUCUCAAACCUUUGGGUUUGGUAGUGAGUGAUACUCGUCUCGGGUUAACUUGAAAGUGGCUAGCCGUUGCCAUCUGCGUGAGCAGGGCUGCGUGUCAAGUCUAUGGACUCGACUCUUGCACAUCUACGUCUUAGGUUUGCGCCAAUUCGUGGUAAGCUUGGGUCAUAGAGACUCAUAGGUGUUAUAAAGACCCGCUGGUGUUUGUCUCCUUGAGGCAUACGGCUUUAACCAAAACUCUCAAAGUUUGACCUCAAAUCAGGUAGGGGUACCCGCUGAACUUAAGCAUAUCAUAA